rnacentral:rRNA from 1 species
AGUGAACGCUGGCGGUAGGCCUAACACAUGCAAGUCGAACGGCAGCACAGUAAGAGCUUGCUCUUACGGGUGGCGAGUGGCGGACGGGUGAGGAAUACAUCGGAAUCUACUUUUUCGUGGGGGAUAACGUAGGGAAACUUACGCUAAUACCGCAUACGACCUACGGGUGAGAGCAGGGGAUCUUCGGACCUUGCGCGAUUGAAUGAGCCGAUGUCGGAUUAGCUAGUUGGCGGGGUAAAGGCCCACCAAGGCGACGAUCCGAAGCUGGUCUGAGAGGAUGAUCAGCCACACUGGAACUGAGACACGGUCCAGACUCCUACGGGAGGCAGCAGUGGGGAAUAUUGGACAAUGGGCGCAAGCCUGAUCCAGCCAUACCGCGUGGGUGAAGAAGGCCUUCGGGUUGUAAAGCCCUUUUGUUGGGAAAGAAAAGCAGCAGGUUAAUACCCCGCUGUUCUGACGGUACCCAAAGAAUAAGCACCGGCUAACUUCGUG